GACGAACGCUGGCGGCGUGCCUAAUACAUGCAAGUCGAGCGAAGUUUUUCUGGUGCUUGCCCUAGAAAAACUUAGCGGCGAACGGGUGAGUAACACGUAAAGAACCUGCCUCAUAGACUGGGACAACUAUUGGAAACGAUAGCUAAUACCGGAUAACAGUAUUUCUCGCAUGAGAGAUAUUUAAAAGUUGGUUAUGCUAACACUAUGAGAUGGCUUUGUGGUGCAUUAGCUAGUUGGUGGGGUAAAGGCCCACCAAGGCGACGAUGCAUAGCCGACCUGAGAGGGUGAUCGGCCACACUGGGACUGAGACACGGCCCAGACUCCUACGGGAGGCAGCAGUAGGGAAUCUUCCGCAAUGGGCGAAAGCCUGACGGAGCAACGCCGCGUGAGUGAAGAAGGAUUUCGGUUCGUAAAGCUCUGUUGUUAGGGAAGAAUGGAUAUGUAGUAACUAUACAUGUAAGAGACGGUACCUAACCAGAAAGCCACGGCUAACUACGUG
rnacentral:rRNA from 1 species